UUCUGAUUGAUUUAUAAUCAGUAAGACCUGCUCAAUGACUCUUAAAUAGCCGCAAUUUCGUGCUAAGGUAGCAUAAUCAAUUGCCUUAUAAUUAAAGGCUAGAAUGAAAGGUCCAACAUAUUAAAUUCUUUAUUAGGUAGAUUUCUCUAACUUCAUCUGAAAAUAAAAAAGUUUUCAUUAAUUAGGAAGACGACAAGACCCUAUUGAACUUCACUUUUUAGUUUCACUGGGGUGGUGAGCAAAUUAUAUCUUUCGUUGUAUUUUUAAAAAUACAACGAAAAAAUAAUCUUAACCAAGUUACCAUAGGGAUAACAGCACAGUUUCUUUUUUAAGAUCUUAUUUUAAAAGAAGAUCGUGACCUCGAUGUUGAAUAUUUAUCCUAUUGGCGAAGAAGCUUCUAAGGAAAGUCUGUUCGACUUUUAAUAUUUUACA
rnacentral:rRNA from 1 species